UACGAAGGGGGCUAGCGUUGCUCGGAAUCACUGGGCGUAAAGGGUGCGUAGGCGGGUCUUUAAGUCAGGGGUGAAAUCCUGGAGCUCAACUCCAGAACUGCCUUUGAUACUGAAGAUCUUGAGUUCGGGAGAGGUGAGUGGAACUGCGAGUGUAGAGGUGAAAUUCGUAGAUAUUCGGAAGAACACCAGUGGCGAAGGCGGCUCACUGGCCCGGUUCUGACGCUGAGGUGCGAAAGCGUGGGGAGCAAACAGG
rnacentral:rRNA from 1 species